rnacentral:rRNA from 1 species
UACGAAGGGGGCUAGCGUUGCUCGGAAUUACUGGGCGUAAAGCGCACGUAGGCGGCUUUCUAAGUCGGGGGGUGAAAUCCUGGAGCUCAACUCCAGAACUGCCUUCGAUACUGGAGAGCUCGAGUCCGGGAGAGGUGAGUGGAACUGCGAGUGUAGAGGUGAAAUUCGUAGAUAUUCGCAAGAACACCAGUGGCGAAAGGCGGCUCACUGGCCCGGGUACUGACGCUGAGGUGCGAAAGCGUGGGGAGCAAACAGG